UACGGAGGGGGCUAGCGUUGUUCGGAAUUACUGGGCGUAAAGCGCGCGUAGGCGGAUCUGCAAGUCGGGGGUGAAAUCCCGAGGCUCAACCUCGGAACUGCCUUCGAUACUGCGGGUCUCGAGUCCGGGAGAGGUGAGUGGAAUUCCUAGUGUAGAGGUGAAAUUCGUAGAUAUUAGGAAGAACACCAGUGGCGAAGGCGGCUCACUGGCCCGGUACUGACGCUGAGGUGCGAAAGCGUGGGGAGCAAACAGG
rnacentral:rRNA from 1 species